rnacentral:lncRNA from 1 species
CAUUGGGGUGCCAGCCAGCUCAUCCUGGGGCUUGAGUGGAGGCCCAGCUUCCGGGGUCUUACAAACCUACCUUAUCUUUCAUAUAAGGCAGGGUCAUCCGAGGACUCCUCCAAACUCAUAUAUGUUCUCUUGUGAGUGUCUUACAUUCUUGGAGGCUUUGUAGCCUUUUGUGCAUCUGAAUGCACUGCCAUGUGAUGUUGCCAUUACAUACUAAAAACAGGCAUAAUGUCUGAAAGUGGGGAAACAUAUGUUUAUGUCAUUUUACAAAUAAAUUUAUAAGUCACCACCAUGCUGGGAAACAGAGAGCUAUCUUACUUUCCCUGGAUAUCUGGUGCAACAUCAUAGGCCUGGCUCUUGAGAUGUCAGGUAAUACUGGACUUCGCUGGAGAUGUUGAGCUGAGGCUGUUCUGAGUUUCUGUCAGGUUGGAUGGUAUUAGGAAGUGAACAAAUUCCUGCAGGUAUUAGAAAAAAAUCAUAUACAAAGACAAAAGAGUGUCCUGGCCCUGAAGGAACAAAAAGAAGUUGUGAAAUCCAGUUGAGAAACCAUCAGAGAGGGAGUGGGUGACUCAGGAAUGUCACAUGAAACUAACAUGACUCCCAGAUGGUUGCCCAUUUAAACCCUACCCCCAGCUGGUUUGCUUUCUUCCUCUGCUCUAGCAAUGGGAACUCUACUACAGCCCUAGCAAUGGGAACUCUACUUGUGGUUUUGGGACUUCCAUGAAGCAGAUCUAUAUGUGGGACAGCAGUACUCAAUGCAUAGGAAGGCUGAGAGGUGAGGUCUCAUGUCAGAUAGGGUGAUAGUGGUUAACAAGAAAAUUUCAUCUAUUUCAAAGCUGUGGGCCCAGAGGCUUUUGAAUCUCUUUGACAUGAUAACCAUGGGAUCAAAUUUGGUAAUUUACUGGCAUAUGUUAUAUAAAUAUGUGCCUAUGAUUGACAAAGAUAAUAAGCAAGUUUUAAAUGCUACUACUAUCCUGAGGCCUCCAUCCUCUGAGGAAGCAUGGAGCUCUUUAUGAGGUCCAUAGCAGAACUCCCCAUACACAGCACUCCCCAUACACAGCACUCCCCAUACACAGCACUCCCCAUACACAGCACUCCCCAUACACGGCACUCCACCUCUUGAAGACACCUCCACCACCACCCCUGACACAAUGUCUCUCUCCCAGAUCCUUGCUUCUCUAUACUACAACCAUACGCUGAGGACUUAACUCAUAUCCUAGCUUCUCCAACUUUGAGGACUUACUACUCAGAUUCAGGAGCAGCCCAACCAUACCACAAGCUAAAUUAGAAUUGUCUGUAAACUUCAGAGCAUCAAAGAAUGAAGUAUUAUUCAGCUUGCUUUCUUCCAGAAAAGUUUUUUAAAAGGAUCAGGGUUAUAAAGAUAGCCCUAUUAGUGAUGUGCUUGCCUGGUAAGCAUAGCAAUAAAAGUUUGAUACCAAAAUUAAUUUAAAAAGCCAGGCAAGGUUGCUAGGAAGGCAGAGACAGAGGAUCCUUGGGGUCCCUUUGCCAACCUGCCCAGCCUCUUAGACAAGUUCCAGGCUAACAAGGUGCCUUGUCUAAAUAAUAAUAAUAAUAAUAAUAAUAAUUAAUAAUAAUAAUAAUCAUCCAGGCGGUGGUGGCGCACGCCUUUAAUCCCAGCACUUGGGAGGCAGAGGCAGGUGGAUUUCUGAGUUCGAGGCCAGCCUGGUCUACAGAGUGAGUUCCAGGACAGCCAUGGCUAUACAGAGAAACCCUGCCUUGAAAAACCAAACAAAAACAAAAACAAAAAAAACCAAUAAUAAUAACAACAACAACAAUAAGUCAGUUGUUCUCCAAGGAUCAAUAUGAGAGGCUAUCAUGCUACUUGCACGUGCAGAUACACACACACAUACACAGUCUCUCUCACACACACCAACAUAUCCCAUAAAAAUACACAAAAACCUAUGCUUUUCAAUAUAUCAGCAGCAGAAAGCAUGGAAGAAAAAUAAAUUGCAUGAUUUGCAAUUAAUAUGGUUAGGAGAAAAUCCAGCCAAAUACAUAAAAACUAACAAGGCAAAUCUUACCAUAUCUGAAAAAUUGCACUGGACUUGGUAGAGUAGAGAUAAGUUAAAUAAGGAGAGACACUGACCUGGUUGGCUCUUUUGGCAACUUGACCCAAGAAAGAAUUAUCUGAGAAGAAACCACAACUGAAAAGAUGGUUCCACAAGGCUGGCCUGUAGGCACACCUGUGGGACAUUUUCUUAAUUAGUGAUUGAUGCAGGAGAGUCCUGCUCAUUGUGACUGCUGCCACCCCUGAGCAGGAGUUUCUUGGUUGUUGACAAAAGCAGGCUGACCAAGGUAUGAGGGCAAACCAGUAAGCAGCAUUCUCUCAUGCCUUCUGCCUCCAUUCCUGCCCCCAGUUCCUCCGUGAUGGACAGACAGUGCUGGGCACAUCUAAGCUGAAAUAACCCCCCUUUCCUUACAAAGUUGAUUGUGGUCAUGGUGUUUUAUCACAGGGAUAGAAACCCUAACCAAGACAUGUCACCCUAAAGGGUUGGAAGAUUCAAAUAAGCAUCCACAGACACUGCCCUGUGUGGCAGACAUCAUGGCAGGAAGGCAUGUUCCAAUUGACAGUGUAAUUUUGAAAUCUGUGUGGGGAUUAUCAAGGCUAAGGGCAGCUGAGAUGUGUGACUUGCAGGGCACUCUGCUUCAUCCGGCAGUUAGCACUUCACAAGAGCAAAGGAUGAUCGGAGUUUUCUCUUUGUCCUCUGUCUCUUUUCACAUUCUGUUUCAUGGAGAAGUCGUGCCUAGUCCACAAGCUGACACUACAUGGGUGACAGAGAAUCUCAGCCUAGAUAGCCCAGGGACAGGAACAUAAGGUACAACCAAAUACUACUGUUCUAAAAAUAAAAAAGUAGCAAUAAAAUUACUUCUAAUGCUAUUCUGUUAUACUGGUAGAUCAGUGCUUUGUUCAAAUAUCACCAGAGAGCUCCCUCCUGCAGCAGAUGGGAAUGAAUACAGAGACCCACAGACAUUACAGUGAGUGAGACCCCAGCACACUCACUCAGCCCUAAAUGGGAUGCCACUACCAAAUCCUUCCCCUCAGGGUUCAGGGAAUUGUGCAGAAGAGAAAGCAGAGAGUUGGAGACCCAGGAAGGAUGGAGGGCACCAAGAAAACAUGGUUCUCUAAAUUCACACAAUCCAAGCUCAUGUGAACUCACAGAGACUGAGGCAGCACAGGCCUGUUGCAAGUUCUCGGCAUGUAUAUUAUGACUUCCAGUUUAGUGGGUUUUUUUUUCCUUUUUCUUUUUUCUUUUUUUAUUUUCUUUUCAAUUUUUUAUUAGAUAUUUUCUUCAUUUAUAUUUCAAAUGUUAUCCCAAAGGUCCCCUAUACCCUCCCCCUGCCCUGCACCUCUAACCACUCACUCCCACUUCUUAGCCCUGGCGUUCCCCUGUACUGGAGCAUAUUAAGUUU